rnacentral:lncRNA from 10 species
AGGGCUCUAGCAAGAAGAUGCCAGCAGAGGCUUGAAAAGUGCCUACCCCUGGCCUGGGAUGCUUCCUCCUGGGAUGCUCCCACUUGGAACCCAACUAUUGUGCUGCAGAAGUUUAACUUAACUGUGUAAGGAGGCCAAGAGGAGGCCCUGGCUGCCAGCCAGCAUCAACUUCCAGUGACGUGAGUGUGCCAUUCUGGAACUGGAUCCUGCAGCCUCGGUGGAGCAGCCUCAGCUGAUGCCAUGUGGAACAGAGAUGAACUGCCGCUGCCGAGCUCUGCCCACGUUGCAGAAUCAUGAGCAAAUGUGAGUUUUGUGGUUUUAAGCCACGAAGUUUAGAGGUGGUUUGCAAUAGAAUGGAGGGGACUGCUUUUCUUCUGAGUUUCGGAUUGAAUUCUGCUUUACUAUAACUUAUUUAUUAUAUAUUUGUAACAAUUCUGUCUCCACCCAUCAGUAUUCACCCGCCUAAGGGCACAGAGGCACCAGGACUCUGGGAACCUUCCUUGAUGUCUGGAUCUACUGCAGUGACUCUUAGUGCAGCAGUUAAAAGCCAGACUGUCCUAGUGUGAAUCCGGCCUUGGCUAUUCAUUGGCUGGAAGACCUGAGCCAAGCCUGUGCCUCUGUCCGGGCAUCUGGGUAGAUGUCCUAGGAGUCCACUAAGAAGAAAACUGAGGCCAGUGAGAGGCAGAGUUGAGGCAAGGCGCAACUCUAUUCCCCUGCUGGGGAAAGCAGCUCUGCCCCUCGGUCUGCCCUGCUGACCAGGCAUGACACACCACCUCAUCAGCAGGGCCCACGGCACCCAGACCUGGCCUGGAGGGGCUGAGACAGCAUUGCUAGGGGUCAGAUGGUCACAGAAUAAGCAACCUGAGACCUGGAAGGGCAUAAGCAUCUUCCCCUACCUGGAAUCAGAGGCAUAGCUGAGGUCAAACAUCAGGGCAGGAGGGCCUGGAGGGGGUCGGAAC